CUUAACCGGGGGCGUGCAGGCGAUACGGGCAGACUUGAGUACUACAGGGGAGACUGGAAUUCCUGGUGUAGCGGUGAAAUGCGCAGAUAUCAGGAGGAACACCGGUGGCGAAGGCGGGUCUCUGGGCAGUAACUGACGCUGAGGAGCGAAAGCGUGGGGAGCGAACAGGCUUAGAUACCCUGGUAGUCCACGCCGUAAACGAUGAGGGCUAGUUGUCGGGCGGCAUGCCGUUCGGUGACGCAGCUAACGCAUUAAGCCCUCCGCCUGGGGAGUACGGUCGCAAGGCUGAAACUCAAAGAAAUUGACGGGGGCCCGCACAAGCGGUGGAGUAUGUGGUUUAAUUCGAAGCAACGCGCAGAACCUUACCAGCCCUUGACAUUUGGUGCACACUCCAGAGAUGGGGUUUUCCCUUCGGGGACGCCAGGACAGGUGCUGCAUGGCUGUCGUCAGCUCGUGCCGUGAGGUGUCGGCUUAAGUGCCAUAACGAGCGCAACCCCUCCCUCCAGUUGCCAUCGGGUAAAGCCGGGGACUCUGGAGGCACUGCCAUCGCAAGAUGUGAGGAAGGCGGGGAUGACGUCAAAUCAGCACGGCCCUUACGUCCGGGGCUACACACGUGUUACAAUGGGGGGUACAGAGGGCCGCCAUCCGGCGACGGAGCGCCAAUCCCCAAAUCCCCUCCCAGUUCGGACUGGAGCCUGCAACCCGGCUCCACGAAGCUGGAUUCGCUAGUAAUCGCGCAUCAGCCAUGGCGCGGUGAAUACGUUCCCGGGCCUUGUACACACCGCCCGUCAAGCCAUGAAAGCCGGGGGUACCUGAAGUGCGUA
rnacentral:rRNA from 1 species